CGGACGGGUGAGUAACGCGUGGGUAACCUGCCUCAUACAGGGGGAUAACAGUUAGAAAUGGCUGCUAAUACCGCAUAAGCGCACAGGACCGCAUGGUCUGGUGUGAAAAACUCCGGUGGUAUGAGAUGGACCCGCGUCUGAUUAGCUAGUUGGAGGGGUAACGGCCCGCCAAGGCGACGAUCAGUAGCCGGCCUGAGAGGGUGAACGGCCACAUUGGGACUGAGACACGGCCCAG
rnacentral:rRNA from 1 species